AACGAACGCUGGCGGCGUGUUUAAGACAUGCAAGUCGCACGGGAACAUUUUGGUAGUAAUACUUGGAUGUUCCAGUGGCGCACGGGUGAGUAACACGUGAAUGACAUGCCCUUUAGAGGGGGAUAGCCCAGGGAAACUUGGAUUAAUACCCCAUGGUCUCGCAAGAGUAAAGGUGGCCGCAAGGCUGUCGCUAAAGGAUUGGUUCGCGUCCUAUCAGCUAGUUGGCGGGGUAACGGCCCACCAAGGCGACGACGGGUACCUGGUCUGAGAGGACGAUCAGGCACACUGGAACUGAGACACGGUCCAGACACCUACGGGUGGCAGCAGUCGAGAAUAAUUCACAAUGGGGGCAACCCUGAUGGUGCAACGCCGCGUGGAGGAUGAAGGUCUUCGGAUUGUAAACUCCUGUCAUCCGGGAGUAAGACCUGGCGAUGAAUAGUCGACAGGGUUGAUAGUACCGGAAGAGGAAGGGACGGCUAACUUCGUGCCAGCCGCCGCAGUAAAAC
rnacentral:rRNA from 1 species